rnacentral:rRNA from 1 species
AGAGUUUGAUUAUGGCUCAGGAUGAACGCUAGCGAUAGGCCUAACACAUGCAAGUCGAGGGGCAGCACAUGAAGUAGCAAUACGGAUGGUGGCGACCGGCGCACGGGUGAGUAACGCGUAUGCAACCUGCCUACAACAGGGGAAUAACCCGUUGAAAGACGGACUAAUACCCCAUAACACAGGGAUCCCGCAUGGGAAUAUUUGUUAAGGAUUUAUCGGUUGUAGAUGGGCAUGCGUUCCAUUAGCUGGUUGGUGAGGUAACGGCUCACCAAGGCAACGAUGGAUAGGGGAACUGAGAGGUCUAUCCCCCACACUGGUACUGAGACACGGACCAGACUCCUACGGGAGGCAGCAGUGAGGAAUAUUGGUCAAUGGACGCAAGUCUGAACCAGCCACGUCGCGUGAAGGAAGACGGCCCUACGGGUUGUAAACUUCUUUUGUAAGGGAAUAAAGUGCAGUACGUGUACUGUUUUGCAUGUACCUUACGAAUAAGGAUCGGCUAACUCCGUGCCAGCAGCCGCGGUAAUACGGAGGAUCCGAGCGUUAUCCGGAUUUAUUGGGUUUAAAGGGUGCGCAGGCGGGAGAUUAAGUCGGCGGUGAAAUUUUGCAGCUCAACUGUAAAAGUGCCUUCGAAACUGGUUUCCUUGAGUGUGGAUGAAGUAGGCGGAAUUUGUGGUGUAGCGGUGAAAUGCAUAGAUAUCACGAGGAACUCCGAUUGCGCAGGCAGCUUACUAAACCAUAACUGACGCUCACGCACGAAGGCGUGGGGAUCAGACAGGAUUAGAUACCCUGGUAGUC